ensembl:lncRNA
AUUGUAAACAUUAUACCACCUUUGCUAGACUGUUAAAAUAUUAGGUUAUAUUAUACAUGUUGUAAAGACUUUAUAGAAACAUCUAGUUUAGUCCUCAAAGUCUGGCCCCGCGCGUAACACCCGAAUAAUGUCUCAACACCAAAGCCAGUCAUCGUUUAACUUGAAAUUCUGUCAAUAUGUCACUUGGGAUAAAUACUUUAAUGAUGUUUGAUCCCACGCAAUAAGAGAGUGCACAUUUCGCUUUUGAGAACGUAUGUGCUCAGGAAAGCGUGGCUAAUGCAUUUCCUGUGCCCAUUUGAGCCGAGCAUGAUAGAGCGGCAGCGAUGAGGGACGUUCCUAAUCUCUCCCCACACAGGCAGGUGGCCUCUUGUCAGACAGCCAAGGCGAGAGGCGAAAUUAAACCUGGUCGCCCGUGCGUGUGGAUGAGGACCACAGCCAGACAAAUGAAUGACUCCCACACGUCCAUUUUGGACUCUGGAUCAGUUUCUCGUUUUUUUCCCAAGUCAAAUACUGCAAUAUUUUUUUGAAUCUAUGAAAUAACCUUUGUUGCCUAAAACAAAGAGACGCAGAAGCGGCCCUGACCGAGCCUCUGCAUGUGACGAGUUGAGUGAGUAAAGGACCCUCGGAAGAUUGGGUAUUUUAUUACCAAGUAUCAGAGCGGGUUUACUUAGUUUUAUGCAAUAAAACACUUUUCUUUUGGUUUAGGCAACGAAGGCACUUUGUUAUGUCCUUAAAUUAGGUCAACGUUGACUUUGUUUCAGAUAGUAAAGAAACAAAUGUGUUUGUCUGACUCAUGCAUUCAUCCUCCACCCGUCCCAC